rnacentral:rRNA from 1 species
AUUGAACGCUGGCGGCAGGCCUAACACAUGCAAGUCGAGCGGAUGAAGGGAGCUUGCUCCUGGAUUCAGCGGCGGACGGGUGAGUAAUGCCUAGGAAUCUGCUUGGUAGUGGGGGAUAACGUCCGGAAACGGGCGCUAAUACCGCAUCCGUCCUGAGGUUGAAAGAGGGGGAUCUUCGGACCUCACGCUAUCAGCUGAGCCUAGGUCGGAUUAGCUAGUUGGUGGGGUAAAGGCCUACCAAGGGGAGGAUCCGUAACUGGUCUGAGAGGAUGAUCAGUCACACUGGAACUGAGAAACGGUCCAGACUCCUACGGGAGGCAGCAGAGGGGAAUAUUGGAAAAUGGGGGAAAGCCUGAUCCAGACAUCCGGCGGGUGUAAAGAAGGUCUUCGGAUUGUAAAGCACUUUAAGUUGGGAGAAAGGGCAGUAAGGUAAAACCUUGCUGUUGUGACGGUACCAACAGAAUAAGCAACGGCUAACUACGUG